rnacentral:rRNA from 1 species
ACUUACGCGUUACGUUAAAUACCCCUUACGGUUAGGAGCAUUUAGUAUUCAUCGGUCACUGCAUAGACUACCGGGGUCUCUAAUCCCGUUUGCUACCUAUGCUUUUGCGCUAUAGUGUCAGUUUAUAGUAGAAAGUCGCUUUCGCCCGUAGACUGUCCUUCUAAUUUUUGCAAAUUUCACCUCUACACUAGAAGUACAACUUUCUUCAAAUAAACUCAAGCGCGGCCGUCNNNNUUAAGGACCUCCAAAUUAUGUUUGAGUAUUUAAAAAAACGUACCACACCACCUUCACGCCCUUUACGCCCAGUCAAGUUGAGUAACACUAGCCCCCUCC